UACAGAGGUCUCAAGCGUUGUUCGGAUUCAUUGGGCGUAAAGGGUGCGUAGGUGGCGCCGUAAGUCAGGUGUGAAAUUUCGGAGCUUAACUCCGAAACUGCAUUUGAUACUGCGGUGCUUGAGGACUGGAGAGGAGACUGGAAUUUACGGUGUAGCAGUGAAAUGCGUAGAGAUCGUAAGGAAGACCAGUGGCGAAGGCGGGUCUCUGGACAGUUCCUGACACUGAGGCACGAAGGCCUGGGGAGCAAACGGG
rnacentral:rRNA from 1 species